CGGCGGACGGGUGAGUAACACGUGGAUAACCUACCUAUAAGACUGGGAUAACUUCGGGAAACCGGAGCUAAUACCGGAUAAUAUAUUGAACCGCAUGGUUCAAUAGUGAAAGACGGUUUUGCUGUCACUUAUAGAUGGAUCCGCGCCGCAUUAGCUAGUUGGUAAGGUAACGGCUUACCAAGGCAACGAUGCGUAGCCGACCUGAGAGGGUGAUCGCCACACUGGAACUGAGACACGGUCCAGACUCCUACGGGAGGCAGCAGGA
rnacentral:rRNA from 1 species